UACGUAGGGUGCAAGCGUUAAUCGGAAUUACUGGGCGUAAAGCGUGCGCAGGCGGCUUUGCAAGACAGAUGUGAAAUCCCCGGGCUUAACCUGGGAACUGCAUUUGUGACUGCAUGGCUCGAGUGCGGCAGAGGGGGAUGGAAUUCCGCGUGUAGCAGUGAAAUGCGUAGAUAUGCGGAGGAACACCGAUGGCGAAGGCAGUCCCCUGGGCCUGUACUGACGCUCAUGCACGAAAGCGUGGGGAGCAAACCGG
rnacentral:rRNA from 1 species